rnacentral:rRNA from 1 species
UGCGUAGGCGGGUUGGUAAGUCCGUGGUGAAAUCCCCAAGCUUAACUUGGGAACUGCCGUGGAUACUAUCAAUCUUGAAUAUCGUGGAGGUAAGCGGAAUAUGUCAUGUAGCGGUGAAAUGCUUAGAUAUGACAUAGAACACCAAUUGCGUAGGCAGCUUACUACACGAUCAUUGACGCUGAGGCACGAAAGCGUGGGGAGCAAACA